GUAACUUUACUAAAAGCCUUUGUAAAUGCUUUGCAUGAUUUAAACGUUGCCUGUAAUGUUUUUUCAUCGCUAUCUAAUAUUCUCUUAUUUUCUUGUGUUUUUUACAGUCAAUUUAUUUGGAACAGAUUUGCAACUGGAGUCUCAGUAGAUUUCAUUACCACCGACCCAGCCUUUACCGCCCCACCCCGUCAUGAAUCAUUUAACAGAUUUGCCCCCAACCAUUACUUUUAAUCCUGACCUGCUCAGGUCGUGGGCUGUGAUGUGUGCUGCCGGCUCUAAUGAGAAGACAAGAAUGAAAGGAUCAGAGUCGAAGGAAAGGAGGUGCAGAGGUCAAUCAGGAGAGCACCAGAUCAGUGUCCAUUCAAAAUUCACCUGUCCAUGUAAAGAAGAUAAACAGCCCAACCACAGUUCAGUCCCAGAGGAACACUGCAAGCAAUUGUCCUAAUGAGGUAUUCAUGUUUAACCCUUGUGAAAAAAUAUUUCCUUUGGCAUACAGUACUAUGCAGUUUUUGCAGUGUGUAUUGUGCACAGUAUGCAUGACCUACUAAAUUUGGCUAAAUGUGCAGUAUAUAACCAGGACGCAAUGCACUACUAUAUCCCACAUUUUUGAUUGGAAUGAUAAUACCUUCCACAGUCACUUGUUGAAUUAUUUUGAAAUGUUUAAAGUUGCAUAAUACUAUUAUUUGCUGCGUACUGAUUAUCAUUUCUAAUUAGUAGUAUGCUGUCGCAUGACCUCUUUAGGUUGUAUGGUUAAUGCAGCAAGUGGCAUUCAGUUUGCAUAAAUAAAAACAGCUAUUUUGAAUCCAAUUUGUAUUAGCGUAAAAUGUCAUUGAAAAUUGGCAUUCUAGAAAAUUGGCAUUCUUUGCACAACAUACAGUAUAUACUGCAAAGUCAGAGUAAGGGCCUAUUCACACAGAAUGCGUUGUUGCAGUUAAAGACACGA